CUUACCUCAUCUCAGACGAAAACCGUUCCAAAUAAAAGUGUUGGCUAUACCUUUACACGUGUCGUAUAUUAGCUGUAUUAAGCACCAACAAAUAAUCAUUUUCCUUUACAGCAGCCUG